AAUAGAAAUAAAAAAUAAAAAGAAAUUAUUGUGUUUAUUAACUCUCCAGACUUAACAAAUACGAUUGUAUAUUUAUCAGAGUUAUUUUCCUAGGUUUUCUUCUCAGGGGAAAUUUCUGCUCUCCUUCGCACAAUCUCUGGGCACAUUUUUUCAUGUGAGCAAUGCAAAUACAUUUUGGAAAAGCAGAUAUAAAAAUUACUGGAUAGGACACCUCCACUAAAUAGAAUGGUAAAGAAGUUACGGGCAGAAGGUCAGGAAGCCUUGAGGACAGACCCUGAAGGUAAAGGCUGAAAAUCAGAAGAGAGAUGUAUAUUUAAAAUAUGGAAGUCCUGGACGUGGGAAGGAGACAUUGAUAUAACUAGCUGACAGAUCUCCUACUUGUGAAGGUAUCUACCCACAACUACUGCUGAAGGACAUUGCACCAGCACUGGCAAAAAUAAAGGCUUUGUAAUGAAACAGCAGAUGACUGGGAAAAGCAGAUGGCUGUCUGGCAUACCAAAGAGCAAGAAGGAAGGAAAAAGAGAAAGCAAAGCGACCUGUGACUCAUGAAUGUCGCAGGAAGGAGAAACCAAUAAAAAGCUGUUUCUACACUUUAGCUUUUGAACUUCCCUUUUAAGGAUCAUGUAAGGAGAUGUAUCUCUAAACACAAAGUGAAAAAAAAAAAAAGACACAAGUUCAAAUAACCAGUAAGAACAAAAGCUGAUUGUUAAAAAGCCUGUUCCUUAAAAUUAACUCUGGAAAGUUAAUGCUGGAGCUUCAUGGCACUUUGAAUGAACAAAGGAGGCAGAGUGCAUCUCUCUUCCUCACUGAAAUAUUCCCUGCUUGCCAAAACAUGCAGACAGGACUCUUCCUCAGAAGGACAACACUGAAAGCAAGUUAGUAUAAGAAACAGAUGAAGCUGUAUUCUGGUUUGCCAUUCCCUGUCUGGGCUAUUAUCUUGCAAGCUGAGGCUGGCCUGAUGUUAGCCAUGUGAAGGUUAGUCAUCUGGUCUGAACAAAUCACCAAACUCCCCCGGGAGUCAAUGGAGGAAGACGGGCAUGUCUGGAGGACUCUCCAUCCUGCCCCAACACAAGUAAGUAUCUGACUUACUCAUUGGAGGGGCCUCUUUCUUACUACAAUCCAUAAUACAGCCCUCAAGGAUCAGCUCAGACUGGAGGCCUGUGUUUCAGGUGGCUAGAGCUUGAUGAGAGGAAACUUAACUUCCAUGAAAAAACACCAUAUCAGUACAACAAAACAUUGCUUAUAUUCACCCCAGGAAAAAGCUGAAGAUCUCAAACCAGCUUUCCUAGUGAGCCUUCUGUUACUGUGCACCAAGUAGAGCUCACGGGUGGGAGGUGUUUCCCCCUACUAUUCUCUACGGAAAAUUUUUUAUUGCCAAAGUAAUUUUGCAAAGCUAGUUCAGGAAGAAUUGGAAGACAAAUACACAAAUCUACCUGACAAGCAUCAUUAGAGGGGAGAAUAACAUACAUUUUUUUUUUCUUAGCACAGUGUUCUGCCCUCACCCCUUGUAAAAUCUCAGUCCAGCUCUAGCUUUUGAUACUAAUUAAUAGCGAUUCCUUUAUAAAGAGUAGGAACAGGUGUGUUACCUGACAUAAUCCUCAUUCUCAGUGAGCAACAUUUUUAAAAAUCCUAGUGCCUGAUAUGUGUUCACCAAAGAGGGAACUGAAAACUGGAGAUGGAGAUCAGUCUACUUCAAUCAAGAUUUCUUGCUCAGAAGACCUACAUACACUUAGCUCUCAGUACCUUCAUAUUGUAAAUGGGGGCACAUCCAUUUGCAUUUAGAGUGACAGCCCAAGUGUUGGCAAAUUGCUUCCUCAGAUGAAACUGGAUGGGAGGACACUGCCAUGGAAGCAUCUUUUGGCAGAUCUUUUCUGGGAAUACGGUCAUAGUUGCUCACUGAAAGAUCACAGGACAGGUAAAUGGAAUGUGGGGAAAAAAAGUAUGAAAACAAGACAUGAAAGGAUACAGGUGAACUCGGCAUGUAUACAAACAAAAUGAGUCACCAACUUCAAGUAUUUUUUGACUCUCAUUUUGGCACCUAAGUUGUUGUAACGAAGAGGUGGAAUCAUAUACAAUUUUAAAAGUAUAUUUGCACAAUUGCCUGGUGGUUAUAAAGGAACCCAGAAUUAUUUCUUCUUUGCCUUGUGCAAAUCUUUUUAUUCACUUUAUUGUUCAUUUUACAGAAGUAACAAAAACAUUUCUUCAAAUAGUUUUGUUUAUACUUUAUAUCUUCAUGUACAUAUGCAUAUAUGUAUGGCUAUAUCUUUACUGACUCUGGUGGGUGGUCUGAGAAUUAUGAAAAAAAUGUUGACAUUAUCUAUCUGGUCCACAGUGUAUUAAAAAAAAAAAAAAAAAAAGAUUUUUGGAUUAUGAAAGAUUUACAUUUUCCCUUGAUACCUGCUCUUGCAAUUUGAAAAUCUCUUUGUUUUGACCCUUUGACAAUGACGGCAGGGUGUGUGGUUUAAAAAGGCAGAUAAAAUCCUGAAGACUUAAAAGAAAACAUUUUUUACAUUUCAAGAUCAUUGAAUAAAUGAACUUUCCUACUCAGGAGGGAAAGAAAACUUGGCAGGGAGGUAGAGAUUAAAAACAGUUCAUUUUCUGUUUUCCAAUAUUUUUUAAAUGAAAGGUUCUUUCCUACUAUAAAGCACAGAUUGAUGUGAAAUUAAGGGCUUACACUUGUUUCUGAUAUUUUCAUUUUAUGUACAAAUAUGGACCUAUGAAAGGGACUGUAUAGAACAACUCUGUGUAUUAAUAUGAAAAUAUCUUGCUCCUACACUUGAUGGACAAUAAAUCAUAGUAAAUACCUAAUCAUAAAUAACCUCUUUAUUUUUGUUUGUUUGUUUUUUAAAAAACUGUGGAUUAAAUUUCUUCACUGUGACAUUUAAAAUCUUUAUUUAGGAGACUGUAUGGAUUGUGUGACCAGCUCAUAGACAUACAUUUCCAGAUUCUUGAAACUAAGGACCAGAAACAGUAACACUUUUGCAAGUAUCCAACACGAACUCAGCUAAGAAAGUUGUUACUCCAUGAAGGCAAUUAGAAAUAUUUGGUUUAGCAGCUCUGUUGCUCCCAGUAGUAGCUCUUUUUUGUUCUCUU